rnacentral:tRNA from 1 species
GGAGUGUACAGCUCAGUGGUAGAGGGUGUGCUUAGCAUGCACGAGGUCCUGGGUUCAAUCCCAGUAGCUCCA